CGUUGUUCGGAAUUACUGGGCGUAAAGGGCUCGUAGGUGGCCAACUAAGUCAGACGUGAAAUCCCUCAGCUUAACUGGGGAACUGCGUCUGAUACUGGAUGGCUUGAGAUUGGGAGAGGGAUGCGGAAUUCCAGGUGUAGCGGUGAAAUGCGUAGAUAUCUGGAGGAACACCGGUGGCGAAGGCGGCAUCCUGGACCAACACUGACACUGAGGAGCGAAAGCCAGGGGAGCAAACAGG
rnacentral:rRNA from 1 species